rnacentral:lncRNA from 10 species
AAACGCUGGCGGCCGCUCGUACCCUACCAGGCGCUCUGCCCCGCCGUGGGGUUUUGGGGGUGCUGUGGAGAAGGCAGGGCUCGGGACUCUUCCACCUCCUUGGCUGCUCUGGCCUUUGAGUUAUGCUCUAAGAUUAUCGAUUACUUUUCCGUUGUUGCUUAUUUCCCACAGCAGCAGAAUGAGAACGGUUAUUAGUUAAUAGCCAUCAGAGACAGACCAAGUGGAACACAGUCCUCGGAAAAACGCCACUCUGUAGCAUUAGUAAUUAAAACCUCACAAGACUUCUCAGUCCUUUAUGUGGAGCUGGGGGCAGGAAGAAUUGCUUCUGGAAGCUGAUGGAGUUGGACAUGUGGCUUUCUAGAAUCUGGAUGUGAUGGUGCAGGAAAAACUCCUGCCCAUUGAGAGGGCUCCGUAAGUGCUUCCCAAAAGAGAAUGAGAAGGAAAAGGAGAUCUCCACAGGAACUGCCUCCUUGGAUCCAGGGCAAAAAUGAACCUCCUAUUGGAGAGAAGUGCCCAGCUUGUCAAGAAGUUGAAUCGGUGCAACCAGCGUUUGUGAAAGCAGCAUUUCCCAUUUCACAUAAAGUCAGCUUCUGGCCAACUGGACAAGUCUGAACAAAUAUGAAACCCACUAAAAGGCCAGUGACAGGUGCACACACUACUGACUCUGGCUAGAGGCUGUGGCAGGAAUUGGACUCAUGUCAUCCAGCGACAGUUCCACCAGCAUCUCUUGUGGCUUCCCAAGGACCAGCCUGAGGCAAACUCCUCAGUGGUGUGAAGACUUUCCAUGUCACUGGAAACCCACCACAGAGUUCUACCAAGUAACCAUGCCUCCACCAGUCCACAACAAACUUUUAAGGCCUCUCCAGUUAUGCCUGCAACCAUCCCACAUUAGCAACCUAAGUAGGCCACCAGUAGAGCUGGUCAAGAGAAAGGAUAGGUUCAAUUAAUUAUUUUUUAAUUAAAAAAAAAUAGAGACAGGGUCUUGUUAUGUUGCCGAGGCUGGUCUUGUACUCCUGAGCUGAAAUUAUCUUCCCGCCUCAGUCUCCCAAAGUGCUGAGAUUACAGGUGUGAGCCACCGUACUCAGCCAGAUAGAUUCAAUUUUUAAAACUUUAUUGCCAUUACUGUUCAGUAACCCCUUGAUAUGGUUGAAUAUUUGUCCCCUCCAAAACUUAUGCUGAUAUCUAAUCCCCAAUGUGACACUAUUGAGAGCUGGGGCUUUUAAGAUGUGAUUAGGUCAUGAGGGCUCCACCUUCUGAAUGGAUUAAUCCAUUCAUGGAUUAAUGAGUUCAUGGGUUAAUAGAUUAAUUUAUCUUGGGAGUGGGAUUAGUGGUUUUAUAAGAAGAGUGAGACCUCAGCUAGCAUAUUAGCACUCAGCUCCCUUGGCAUGUGAUACCACCUUGGGACUCUGCAGAGAGUUCCACCAGCAAGGCCUGUACCAGAUGCAGCCCCUUGACCUUGAACUUUUCAGCUUCCAGAACUGUAAGAAAUAGGCCAGGCAUAGUGGUUUACACCUGUCAUCCCACCACUCUGAGAGGCCAAGGCCAGUGGAUUGCUUGAGCCCAGGAGUUUGAGGCUUCAGUGAGCUAUGAUCAUGCCAUUGCACUCCAACCCAGCCUGGGCAACAGAACAAAACUCAGUCUCAAAAAAAAAAAAAAAAAAAAAAAAAAAAAAAGAAGAAGAAGCCAGAUACAAAAGAAUACAUUCUGUAUGACUCCAUUUAUUAGAAGUUCAAGGCCAGAUGUAGUGGCUCACACCUGUAAUCCUAACACUUUGGGAGGCCAACACAGGAAGAUCACUUAAGCUCAGGAGUUUGAGACCAGCCUGGGCAACAUAGUGAGACUCCAUGUCUAUUAAAACAAAAAAGUUCAAGGAGAAUCCAAAUUAAUGGAUGUGGAUAGAAAUCAAAGUGGCGAUUCCUCUUCAGAAGUGAAGACUGACUGAUAGGAGAAAUGAGAGAACUUUCUGAGUGAUGAAGGUGUUUUAUAUCUAGAUUGGAGAGUUGGUUACACAAGCGUAUAUAUUUGUCAAAAGUCAUCAAAUUGCACACAUAUUAUUUCACAGUAUGUAUGUUUUACCUUAAAUAAAAAUGUUUUGGCCAGGCACAGUGGCUUACACCUAUAACCCCAGCACUUUGGGAGGCCACAGCAGGAGGAUCUCUUGAGCACAGGAGUUUGAGACCAGCCUGGGCAAUAUAGUGAGCCCUCAUCUCUACUAAUGAAAUAAAAUAAAAUAUAACAUAAAAUAGCCACGCGUGGUGAUGCAGGCCUGUGGUCCCAGCUACUCAGGAGGUUGGGGUAUGAGGACCGUUUCAGCCUGGGAGGUCAAGGCUGCAGUGAACUGUGAUGAUGCUACUGCAUUCCAGUCUGAGUGACACAGUGAGACCCUGUCUCCA